GUUGGGAUCAUAGGUAGAAGGUUGGGGAUAGGUUAUUUGUAAAAUUGUCGGCGGUGGAUCGCUAGGCUCUCGUGGCGUCGAAGAACGCAGCAAGGUGCGAAAAGUGGUGCCGGACGCAGCGUGUGGCAUCCAGUGUUUGAACGCAAAAUGCAACAAUAUAUAUUCCCAUUCAAUAUGCUCGACAGGUCGGGUCAAAAUGUCCAAGAAAAUCACAAUUUUAUAUAGGGUGACCCGUUGAACUUAAGCAUAUCAGUAGGCGGAGGAAAGGAAACCAACAGGGACUCCCGCAGUAACUGCGAGUGAAGGGGGACAAGCCGCAAUGGGAAUCCUCAAGGAAUUGUAUCGGGGGCAGCGCAACUGGUCUGGAAGGGCCGACGACAGCGAGUGACAGUCUCGAGCGUGCUCCGUGGCGACAGUCGGGCUGCAUGGGCGCGCAGUCUCAAGGGGUGGUGCAUGACAUCCAAGGCUAAGUACGGACGAGAGGCCGAUAGAGAACAAGUACCGUGAGGGAAAGCUGAAAAGGACUUUGGAAAGAGAGUCAAAAGACGUGAAACCGCGGGCGCAUCCAAUUGCUGGACCCGUCUUGAAACACGGACCAAGGAGUUGUCGUCGCGUGCAAGUGUGCGCUAGCAAUAGUGUGGGCCGAUUUUAAAAGUUGGGAGCACGCGGCGGCAGACCCGAAAGACGGUGAGCUAUGUCUGGGGAGGGCGAAGCCGGUGGAAACGCUGGUGGAGGCCCGAAGCGGUGCUGACGUGCAAAUCGCUCGCGCCACCUGGAUAUAGGGGCGAAAGACCAAUCGAACCGUCUGGUAGCUGGUUCCGUC
rnacentral:misc_RNA from 1 species